UACCUACACCCAACAUGGCUCC
rnacentral:piRNA from 1 species